GGGCUUGUGGCUCAGUGGUAGAGCGCCCCCUUAGCAUACUCGCUUCGAGCGAGCGCGAAUGGGGGAGGUCCAGUGUUCAAUUCGCUGUUAGUCCA